rnacentral:rRNA from 1 species
AUCCUGCCAGUAGUCAUAUGCUUGUCUCAAAGAUUAAGCCAUGCAUGUCUAAGUAUAAGCGACUUGUACUGUGAAACUGCGAAUGGCUCAUUAAAUCAGUUAUCGUUUAUUUGAUGGUCCCUUACUACAUGGAUAACCGUAGUAAUUCUAGAGCUAAUACAUGCAGGAGUUCCCGACUCACGGAGGGAUGUAUUUAUUAGAUAAGAAACCAUCUCGGGUCCGCCCGGUUGUGUGCUGAGUCAUAAUAACUGCUCGAAUCGCACGGCUCUACGCCGGCGAUGGUUCAUUCAAAUUUCUGCCCUAUCAGCUUUCGAUGGUAGGAUAGAGGCCUACCAUGGCGUUAACGGGUAACGGAGAAUUAGGGUUCGAUUCCGGAGAGGGAGCCUGAGAAAUGGCUACCACAUCCAAGGAAGGCAGCAGGCGCGUAAAUUGCCCGAAUCCUGACACAGGGAGGUAGUGACAAGAAAUAACAAUACAGGGCUACUUCUAGUCUUGUAAUUGGAAUGAGUACAACUUACAUCUCUUCACGAGGAUCAAUUGGAGGGCAAGUCUGGUGCCAGCAGCCGCGGUAAUUCCAGCUCCAAUAGCGUAUAUUAAAGUUGUUGCAGUUAAAAAGCUCGUAGUCGGAUUUCGGGUCGGGCCGAGCGGUCUGCCGAUGGGUAUGCACUGUUUGGCGCGGCCUUCUUUCCGGAGACCGCGGCUACUCUUAACUGAGCGGGCGUGGGAGACGGAUCGUUUACUUUGAAAAAAUCAGAGUGUUUCUAGCAGGCAGCUCGCUCUUGCAUAGGUUAGCAUGGGAUAAUUUAAUAGGACUCUGGUGCUAUUUUGUUGGUUUCGAACACCGGAGUAAUGAUUAAAAGGGGCAGUCAGGGGCACUCGUAUUCCGUCGAGAGAGGUGAAAUUCUCAGACCAAUGGAAGACGAACCACUGCGAAAGCAUUUGCCAGGGAUGUUUUCACUGAUCAAGAACGAAAGUUAGGGGAUCGAAGACGAUCAGAUACCGUCGUAGUCUUAACCAUAAACCAUGCCGACUAGGGAUUGGAGGGUGUUCGUUUCGACCUCUUCAGCACCUUACGGGAAACUAAAGUCUUUGGGUUCCGGGGGGAGUAUGGUCGCAAGGCUGAAACUUAAAGGAAUU